rnacentral:rRNA from 1 species
GACGAACGCUGGCGGCAUGCCUAAGACAUGCAAGUCGAACGAAAUGGUCCAAUGAAGAUUGAGUGCUUGCACAAGAUUGAAUUUGGAUCGCCAUUUAGUGGCAGACGGGUGAGUAACACGUGAGUAACCUGCCCCAGACCCUGGGAUAACAGUUGGAAACAGCUGCUAAUACCGGAUACGAGACGGAGAGGCAUCUCUACCGUCUGGAAAGACUUAUCGGUCUGGGAUGGACUCGCGGCCUAUCAGCUUGUUGGUGAGGUAAAGGCUCACCAAGGCGACGACGGGUAGCCGGCCUGAGAGGGCGACCGGCCACACUGGGACUGAGACACGGCCCAGACUCCUACGGGAGGCAGCAGUGGGGAAUAUUGGGCAAUGGACGAAAGUCUGACCCAGCAACGCCGCGUGAAGGAAGAAGGUUUUCGGAUCGUAAACUUCUAUCCUUGGUGAAGAUAAUGACGGUAGCCAAGAAGGAAGCCCCGGCUAACUACGUGCCAGCACG